rnacentral:siRNA from 1 species
GUGACCAAUCAGAAGAAGCCACGU